rnacentral:tRNA from 1 species
GGGUCGGUGCCCGAGCGGCUUAAGGGGAUGGGCUGUAAACCCAUUAGCGCAAGCUUACGCUGGUUCGAAUCCAGCCCGGCCCA